rnacentral:misc_RNA from 1 species
GCGUUUUGAGCAGCGCGCCGUUGUUGAGAAGGGGUUUGGUUUGGUUUGGUUUGGGCUUGUAGCGUUCUCGUUCUGUUGGCGUGUUUUCGUUCUCGUUCUCGUUUGGAGAGCGUUUUCGUUCUCGUUUGGCAGCGUUCUCGUUUGCAGACCCAAAACAACAAAACCAAACACUCUGAAACUCUUUUGCUUUGCUUUGAUUCGACUAGACUAAACUAAAA